rnacentral:ribozyme from 1 species
CAAGAGCAAGGCGGCGUCUGGAUCUGGUGCCUCCAGCGCCUCGCCCCAAGAGGGCAACACCACAACCACGGCGUCAGCAACGGAGCCAACUGUCACCACCAAUGCCGACGGCAGUGCCACGUAUG